AGAGUUUGAUUCUGGCUCAGAGUGAACGCUGGCGGCGUGCUUAACACAUGCAAGUCGAACGAGAACGAGCUUGCUAUAAUUGUCAAAGUGGCGCACGGGUGAGUAAUGUAUAGAUAACCUGCCCUUAAGAAAGGAAUAACAGUUGGAAACGACUGCUAAUGCCCUAUAUGCCUUUAAUACAUAGUAUGCAAGGGAAACGCUUUAGUGCUUAAGGAUGGGUCUGUAUGGUAUCAGCUAGUUGGUGAGGUAAUGGCUCACCAAGGCUAAGACGGGUAGCUGGUGUGAGAGCACGGUCAGCCACCAUGGAACUGAGACACGGUCCAUACUCCUACGGGAGGCAGCAAUUAGGAAUCUUGCGCAAUGGGGGCAACCCUGACGCAGCGACACAGCGUGGAGGAUGAAGGUCUUCGGAUUGUAAACUCCUUUUAUAUGGGAAGAAUAGAUGACUGUACCAUAUGAAUAAGGACCUGCUAACUACGUGCCAGAAGCAUCGGUGAUGCGUAGGGUCCGAACGUUAUCCGGAUUUAUUGGGUGUAUAGAGAGCGUAGGCGGUUUGAUAAGUCUUGAGUUAAAGACCUCGGCUCAACCGAGGAAAAGCUUUCGAUACUAUCAGACUUGAGGCAUAGAGGGGUGAACGGAAUUCCGAGUGGAGUGGUGAAAUACGUUGAUAUUCGGAGGAACAUCAGUGGCGAAGGCGGUUCACUGGCUAUUGCCUGACGCUCAGGCUCGAAAGCGUGGGUAGCAAAACGGAUUAGAUACCCGUGUAGUCCACGCUGUAAACUAUGGAUGCUAGGUGUUUGGUACACUUCAGUGCUGAGUGCCGCAGCUAACGCGUUAAGCAUCCCACCUGGGAAGUACGGCCGCAAGGCUAAAACUCAAAUGAAUUGGCGGGGACCCGCACAAGCGGAGGAGCGCGUGGUUUAAUUCGAUGGCAAUCGAAGAACCUUACCAGGGUUUGACAUGUAUCGCAUAUUCCCAGAAACGGGAAUGCCUUCGGGGUGAUACACAGGUGCUGCAUGGCCGUCGUCAGCUCGUGUCGUGAGAUGUAGGGUUAAGUCCCGAAACGAGCGCAACCCCUAUCUCAUGUUAUAAGUGUCUUGAGAAACUGCCUCGGUAAACGGGGAGGAAGGUGGGGAUGACGUCUGGUCCGCAUAGCCCUUAUGUCCUGGGCUACACACGCGCUACAAUGGUAGGUACAAUGGGCAGCCAAACCGCAAGGUGGAGCUAAUCCUAAAAAACCUAUCUCAGUUCGGAUUGUGGGCUGAAACUCGCCCACAUGAAGUUGGAUUCGCUAGUAAUCGUGGAUCAGCCAUGCCGCGGUGAAUACGUUCUCGGGUCUUGCACACACCCCCGUC
rnacentral:rRNA from 1 species